GACGAACGCUGGCGGCGUGCUUAACACAUGCAAGUCGAACGGAAAGGCCCUGCUUUUGUGGGGUGCUCGAGUGGCGAACGGGUGAGUAACACGUGAGUAACCUGCCCUUGACUUUGGGAUAACUUCAGGAAACUGGGGCUCAUACCGGAUAGGAGCUCCUGCUGCAUGGUGGGGGUUGGAAAGUUUCGGCGGUUGGGGAUGGACUCGCGGCUUAUCAGCUUGUUGGUGGGGUAGUGGCUUACCAAGGCUUUGACGGGUAGCCGGCCUGAGAGGGUGACCGGCCACAUUGGGACUGAGAUACGGCCCAGACUCCUACGGGAGGCAGCAGUGGGGAAUAUUGCACAAUGGGCGGAAGCCUGAUGCAGCAACGCCGCGUGCGGGAUGACGGCCUUCGGGUUGUAAACCGAUUUCGCCUGUGACGAAGCGUGAGUGACGGUAAUGGGUAAAGAAGCACCGGCUAACUACGUG
rnacentral:rRNA from 1 species